rnacentral:rRNA from 1 species
UGCCAGCCGCCGCGGUAAGACGGGGGGCUCUAACGUUGUUCGGAAUCACUGGGCAUAAAGCGCACGUAGGCGGCUUGUUAAGUCUGAUGUGAAAGCCCCCGGCUCAACCGGGGAACUGCAUCGGAAACUGACAGGCUCGAGGACGGCAGGGGUAAGUGGAACUCCAGGUGGAACGGUGAAAUGUGUAGAUAUCUGGAGGAACACCGGUGGCGAAAGCGGCUUACUGGGCCGUCUCUGACGCUGAGGUGCGAAAGCUAGGGUAGCGAACGGGAUUAGAUA